AACGAUCGCUGGCGGCAUGCCUAACACAUGCAAGUCGAACGAGACCUUCGGGUCUAGUGGCGCACGGGUGCGUAACGCGUGGGAACCUGCCCUAGGUUCGGAAUAACUCCCCGAAAGGGGUGCUAAUACCGGAUAAUGUCUUCGGACCAAAGAUUUAUCGCCUUUGGAUGGGCCCGCGUUGGAUUAGCUAGUUGGUAGGGUAAAAGCCUACCAAGGCGACGAUCCAUAGCUGGUCUGAGAGGAUGAUCAGCCACACUGGGACUGAGACACGGCCCAGACUCCUACGGGAGGCAGCAGUGGGGAAUAUUGGACAAUGGGCGAAAGCCUGAUCCAGCAAUGCCGCGUGAGUGAUGAAGGCCUUAGGGUUGUAAAGCUCUUUUACCCGGGAUGAUAAUGACAGUACCGGGAGAAUAAGCUCCGGCUAACUCCGUG
rnacentral:rRNA from 1 species